UUUAGGACUCGCUACCUAACUCAAGACCCGAAUCCCAAAUACCCAUUAAACCAAUUGAAAGAACAUUAAAAUUGAGCCCAAAGAGCUGGCCUAAUUCAAAAUGAUAAGAGGGCAGCAGAUGGUCUUGAGGCUAGCCCAAACAGACAGGGAACUAUCAGACUGCCCAGGGGAGAACAAAGGACCGAAUCCCCUGAGGGCUGGCAAGCUCAUGAUUUACUUGACUACCAAACUUUUGCCGCCUCUUAUACGUGUAUUCAGCAAUUAACAAUGAAGCAAACCAAAGCACUCUUAUGUUUAUUUAACCAAUUAAAAUCUUAUCCUUACGUCUUUGUGACAAAUUGAAAUGAGAAAUCUAUUAGAGGAACACAUGCCUGCUUAUGAAUUCUAACCAACAACUUGUUUAUAGCUAAUUCCAUGACAGUCAUAAAGCACAGAGAUGCAAACCAUCCAAGAAAUUUAUAUGCUCGUUUGGAUUUAAUUGCAGGCUCAGGCCCAUUGGUAACAUGCUUUUAACCACACUCAAUUUAACACAACAAACAGAAAUAAAUUAGACAGACAUGGUUCAUACAGCCCACUACCUAGCAUUAACAGUUCGAACCUCAUGUCACUACACAAAUUCUCAUUACAUAUUUUGAAUCAGCUUCUAGCUCAGAAUAUUUCCUAGUAAAUUGAACAUUUACACAUAAACUAAACUAGUUACAGUUCAAGCCCUUGCAAAUUAACAGCCCAUGGAAAUUUAAACAAUCUCAGUUUAAUUACAACACUCAAAACAGUAAAAAUUGAUCUUAACUACACAAAUCCUCUUCACUAGAGUUCGAAAAAACUAAAACUACACGAAUACACAUUAAUUACUUCACAACGAAUACAUAAGUAUAGAUCUGAACAUCAAUUCAUUCCAAUCCAAUUCGUGGUUUCAUCGGCUAUAGAUUCAAGUGUGUACCUGGAUUAUAAUGGAAUAAGGGAGAAGAGGAAGGUCAGCAACAGUUUUAAAUGACCAAAUCAACAGCAAAAGGAAAUACAACAACCUCCAGAUGUAAGAGAAUUGACCCAGAAUGUAUUAAAAACUAGUAGAUAACCCAAAAGACCCCACGCAACAGCUAGAACCCAACAGAAAUUACUCCACACCAAUCCGCAACAAAUCCCAAAACAAAUUGUAAGCAGGAAAUCAAAAAGAAACCCAGAAGUUGCUCACAACCAAUGAAACGGUGACUGUUUUUGUUGUUUUCUAUUUUUUAUAUACAUUUAUUUGGUAUUUUUUGUGUAUUUAAAAUGUUGAAACUAAUCUGAAGCUAAUAUGAAAGGAAAAUCAGAUUCCUUGUGGACUUUUAUGAGCUAAAAAAUUUAAGACCCCCUUUCACAAGGUAAUUGAUGCCUUUAUAUAGGCCAGAGUGAGGGCAACCCUCAGAUUUUAAUUUUUCUUCUUAGCCCCUGCUCAUUUUUCACUUUAAACCUUAAUUUUCUAACUAUUUCCUCAAGUUACUACCUUAAGUUUAGUGAAAUCUACACAAAAGUCCUAUUCUAAGAGCUUCUAGGAUGCUCUUUUAGCCCCAAAAGUACUAUACUACCCUUAACCCUACCUUGCAAUUACUAUUUUUCAAAAUACUACCCUUUUUCAUGCCCAGACUACCCUUUUAUUAAUCUGAAAAUUACAGAUCCUAUGCUAACUGAUCCUAAUCCCCUUACCCCUGUUAAAAAAAAUUAACUAAAUUAACCCAAUUCAGCUAUAUCCAAUUAGAUUCAGGCUAUGGGACUGUUUUGACCAAAACUAAAUAUAAUUACAGAUUAAUCCUAGCUAAAUACAUGUUAAAUCCCUAAUUAAACAAAAUCGAUAAUUAAAAUAUUGAGCUAACUUAUCUAAAAUCAAACAAACCAUUAACAAGUAAAACAGAUAUGGAAAUUCAUCAUGAAACAACCAAACAAGACAGCCAAAAUGCAUUCAACUGAUUCUACCACAACUAAUUUCAUGAUUGACUUAUCGAGCCAACAUCUAAUAUUGAUCAAAAGAGAUGAAGAACAAGCAAAUGAACACAGAGUACCCAAAUUAAAUUAUUGGUUAAACAAACUGCUAACAGAGAAUGAGUAACAAUGAAAUUUAAUCCUAAAUUGAUUACUCGGCAGACAUGAUCAUGAAUUAAACUAAUUCUAAUAACACUGAAAUUUAACAAAACUAAUUAACACAAAACAAAAAUGAACAACACAAGAAAAAUAGGAAGAAAGAAACCACAAAUUAAAAACAGACGGAGAAAAAGAAAGAGCAAAAGAGGAAUUUAAACCAUUGAUAGACAAAGUAAAACGUGAAAACAAAGGAACACUUACUAUGGAAGACAUGCAAUCUUGCAAAAAGUUCCCUAAAACAUGCCUGACUUCAGUAGCCCUAGAUUUGAAUUUUGUGGAGCUUUAGUGAGAUUCGAGAGAUUUUGACCAAAGAUUCGAAAUGAGGAGAGUCCGGAGAUUGUCUGGUAUCAAUUUGGGAUCAUUUGGAUGAUUUUGGGUUUGGGGCCUUAUUUUAAAAUCAAGAUUCGAGGCGCCUGGGUUUCAUUCGAGGGAAGCCAUUAUCAAAUAUGGGACGAGGAGGGCGAGAGGAGAUUGGGGUGUCAAUUUGGUAGGAUUUGGCAUCGGCGCCACCACCCUAGGGCAGUAGGAUUUGGUGGAGGCGGGAUUAGGGUUCAUGAAGGGAGGGGUAUGUGAGAAGAUGAGAAUGGGG
rnacentral:lncRNA from 1 species